rnacentral:snRNA from 1 species
GAAUGUGUGAGGGUGAUCUGGCUGCAAUGUUUGUCAGCCCAUUGAUCGCCAGCGUUGAUUUGGCUGAUCUGGCUGGUUAGGCAGGUAUCCCCUUCCUUCCUCACCGCUUCCUGUGCUUCCCUCCUGAAGCUGCGUGCUCUGUCUUCCCUGAAUAAAGGAGGACCUGUCUUGGGUCAAGGGUAUAGGAAUAGUUAUGUUCCUUGAUCAGAACCUCCAAACAAGCACAGACAACACCUAUUCUUAAAAGAUUUGUAAGUUCAGUGGAAGUCAUGCUGCCCAACAAAUACUGGACAAUACUAGAAAAUUUGUUG